rnacentral:rRNA from 1 species
ACUCCUACGGGAGGCAGCAGUGGGGAAUAUUGCACAAUGGGGGAAACCCUGAUGCAGCCAUGCCGCGUGUGUGAAGAAGGCCUUCGGGUUGUAAAGCACUUUCAGUAGGGAGGAAGGUAGUGUAGUUAACACCUGCAUUAUUUGACGUUACCUACAGAAGAAGCACCGGCUAACUCCGUGCCAGCAGCCGCGGUAAUACGGAGGGUGCGAGCGUUAAUCGGAAUUACUGGGCGUAAAGCGCAUGCAGGCGGCCUGUUAAGUCAGAUGUGAAAGCCCGGGGCUUAACCUCGGAAUUGCAUUUGAAACUGGCGAGGCUAGAGUCUUGGUAAGUAGGGGGUUAGGAAUUUCAGGUUGUAGCGGUGAAAUGCGUAGAGAUCUGAAGGAAUACCAGUGG